rnacentral:rRNA from 1 species
GACGAACGCUGGCGGCGUGCUUAACACAUGCAAGUCGAACGGUGAUGCUCCAGCUUGCUGGGGUGGAUCAGUGGCGAACGGGUGAGUAACACGUGAGCAACCUGCCCCAGACUCUGGAAUAAGCGCUGGAAACGGCGUCUAAUACUGGAUACGAAACUGGCCCGCAUGGGCAUGGUUUGGAAAGUUUUUCGGUUUGGGAUGGGCUCGCGGCCUAUCAGCUUGUUGGUGGGGUAAUGGCUCACCAAGGCGACGACGGGUAGCCGGCCUGAGAGGGCGACCGGCCACACUGGGACUGAGACACGGCCCAGACUCCUACGGGAGGCAGCAGUGGGGAAUAUUGCACAAUGGGCGAAAGCCUGAUGCAGCGACGCCGCGUGAGGGAUGACGGCCUUCGGGUUGUAAACCUCUUUCAGCAGGGAAGAAGCGAAAGUGACGGUACCUGCAGAAGAAGCACCGGCUAACUACGUG